rnacentral:miRNA from 1 species
UCCCAGGUCCCUUUACAGAGACCCUGGUGACCUGAGGCUCCCUGGCCAUCACUCUUGUCCCAGGCCCUCCUGGCCCGGGGGCACAGGCUGAGUCCCAGUAUAGUUUGUGGGGUCCUGACCCUGGCAUCUGGCCGCCCCUGGAAGGC